GACUUAUAUCCUCACAUCAAUCAUAUAACCCAUUUGAGGCAACUACUGCUGCAACUAGAGGAGGGAGACUAGGUAGAGGACGUGGCAGAGGAAGAUCACAAGAUGAGUGUAGUCACUGCCAUCGCCGGGGCCACAAGAGAGAACAGUGUUUUGAGUUGGUGGGAUAUCCUCCUAACUUCAAAGGUCGAAGGGUUCCAGCGCCUCAAUUGAACCAAGCAAUAGCAAAGCCCAAAUCUAGUUCAUCUGCAACUUCAGCAAAUCUUGGGACACAGCCCUCCAUUACACAGCAGCAGUAUAAUAAGAUACUGCAACUACUCAAAACUGAUGCUAACGAAGAAGUAAUCGGCACGGCUAACUAUAUUGAGGAACACAUUUCUGGAGAUUUUAACUGGGAAGUCUCUAGUGAUUGGUAGAAUCUGUAGUGGACUGUACUUGAUUGGGAAAAUUUUAAAUUUGAACAAUGCUCUUAUGAAUUUUCAGUCCAAUGGGACAAAGAAGGAGAUAUCUCAACUGUGGCACUAUAGGCUAGGGCAUGCACCUUUAGAAGUUCUCAAGCAUCUAGAUAUGAUAAAGAAAGAUAUUAUAGAUUUUUCCAGUCCCAAAUGUGAUGUUUGUCCUCUUGCUAAGCAAGCAAGACUCCCUUUUUCUCAUUCUAUUUCUGUUACUUCUUGUUGCUUUGAAUUGAUACAUGUUGAUAUUUGGGGUCCCUAUAGGGAGCCUACCUAUAAAGGACAGAUAUUUUCUUACUAUUGUUGAUGAUUUCUCCAAAUGUACUUGGACUUUCUUGAUGAUCAAUAAAAAUGAUAGUUUUCAGCUGCUGUUAAA